rnacentral:lncRNA from 1 species
UUACUCAGUCAAACCAAAAAAGAAUUGCAUAUAUACAUAAAUCAAAUCACAACAAUAUAUACAUAAAAUAAAAAAAAUAAAUAAGUAUUAAAAAUGGAGGGAUAAUCACUUUUGCAUUGUGAUAAUUGAUGAUCUCUCCGAACAAAUGUGUAAAACUAUCGUUUAUUCAAACAUCGAUUCUCCAAAAAUCCUGAAUGUGAGAAUCGAUUCUCACAUGGCAACAUCAAUUUUGUGUUUUUGUUUGUGUACUUGGGUGAGCUCAGUCCACUGCAUCGACGACCACCAUGCACUACCGACCAACGACGACUAACAACCACGCACCAUGUCCA